AGAGUUUGAUCCUGGCUCAGGACGAACGCUGGCGGCGUGCUUAACACAUGCAAGUCGAACGGAAAGGCCCCUUCGGGGGUACUCGAGUGGCGAACGGGUGAGUAACACGUGGGUGAUCUGCCCUGCACUUUGGGAUAAGCCUGGGAAACUGGGUCUAAUACCGAAUAGGACCGCAUGCUUCAUGGUGUGUGGUGGAAAGCUUUUGCGGUGUGGGAUGGGCCCGCGGCCUAUCAGCUUGUUGGUGGGGUAAUGGCCUACCAAGGCGACGACGGGUAACCGGCCUGAGAGGGUGUCCGGCCACACUGGGACUGAGAUACGGCCCAGACUCCUACGGGAGGCAGCAGUGGGGAAUAUUGCACAAUGGGCGCAAGCCUGAUGCAGCGACGCCGCGUGGGGGAUGACGGCCUUCGGGUUGUAAACCUCUUUCAGUAUCGGCGAAGCUCCAGGAUUUUUCUUGGGGUGACGGUAGGUACAGAAGAAGCACCGGCCAACUACGUGCCAGCAGCCGCGGUAAUACGUAGGGUGCGAGCGUUGUCCGGAAUUACUGGGCGUAAAGAGCUCGUAGGUGGUUUGUCACGUUGUCUGUGAAAACUCACAGCUUAACUGUGGGCGUGCGGGCGAUACGGGCAGACUGGAGUACUGUAGGGGAGACUGGAAUUCCUGGUGUAGCGGUGGAAUGCGCAGAUAUCAGGAGGAACACCGGUGGCGAAGGCGGGUCUCCGGGCAGUAACUGACGCUGAGGAGCGAAAGCGUGGGGAGCGAACAGGAUUAGAUACCCUGGUAGUCCAA
rnacentral:rRNA from 1 species